UACGAAGGGGGCUAGCGUUGUUCGGAAUUACUGGGCGUAAAGCGUAUGCAGGCGGACUUUUAAGUCGGGGGUGAAAUCCCGAGGCUCAACCUCGGAACUGCCUUCGAUACUGGAAGUCUUGAGUCCGGGAGAGGUGAGUGGAACUCCGAGUGUAGAGGUGAAAUUCGUAGAUAUUCGGAAGAACACCAGUGGCGAAGGCGGCUCACUGGCCCGGUACUGACGCUGAG
rnacentral:rRNA from 1 species